rnacentral:rRNA from 1 species
GAUGAACGCUAGCGGGAGGCUUAACACAUGCAAGUCGAGGGGUAAAUGGUAGCAAUACUAUGAGACCGGCGGACGGGUGCGUAACGCGUAUGCAACAUACCUUUAGCAGGGGGAUAGCCCGUGGAAACGCGGAUUAAUAUUCCAUAGUCCAGCAGUAUCGCAUGGUACCACUGGUAAAGAUUAAUCGGCUAAAGAUUGGCAUGCGUCUGAUUAGUUAGUUGGUAGGGUAACGGCCUACCAAGGCGACGAUCAGUAGGGGUUCUGAGAGGAUUACCCCCCACACUGGUACUGAGACACGGACCAGACUCCUACGGGAGGCAGCAGUGAGGAAUAUUGGUCAAUGGGCGCAAGCCUGAACCAGCCAUCCCGCGUGCAGGAAGACGGCGCUAUGCGUUGUAAACUGCUUUUCCAGGGAGAGAAACUUGCGCACGUGUUGCGCAAUUGACGGUACCCUGGGAAUAAGCAUCGGCUAACUCCGUGCCAGCAGCCGCGGUAA